rnacentral:tRNA from 1 species
GCUACGGUGGUCUAGCGGUUAGAACGCUGGCCUUGUAAUCCUGGGGUCUCGGGUUCGAUUCCCGGUGGUGCU